CGCCGCUCCCUGCAUGCCCGGCGCCCGGGUCGCAGCCCACCUGGACUCUCUGGGCCCCCUGGUCUCCUACGUGCAGCCUCCACUGCUGCCCUCUAUGUUCUACGUGGGCCUGUUCUUCGUCAAUGUGCUGAUCCUGUACUACGCCUUCCUCAUGGAGUACAUCGUCCUCAAUGUGGGCCUCGUCUUCCUGCCCGAGGACUUGGACCAGGCGCUUGUGGACCUUGGCGUGCUCUCCGACCCCGGCUCUGGCCUCUAUGAUGCUGAUUCAGAGCUCGACGUCUUCGAUGGUUACUUGGAGUAAGGCCUUAACUGCUGUAUCCCCUUCCCCUCCGCGAUCCGUAACCCUUGGCCUGGACCAGCUGCCCAGAUCAUGCCGCCCCUCCUGGUUGGGGACGCCGUCCAGAUGGAGAUGGGACCCCCAGGACAAGACCCUCCCCGGCCUCCAAGGCCUGCCUGCUCCCCUCCAAAGCUUCGUGCCAACAGAGAGGUCCUCGGGAGAGUGGAAGGAGAGAUUGGGACUGAGUGCCCAGGCUGAGAAGGCCCUCGUCCCCACGGGGAAGACGCGCCACGUCACUCAGAGGGCUGGCCUUGGCACGCGACUCCAUGCGGUCAGGACGGAUGUUCCCGCGAGCCCAGCCCAGGUCUGCUGCCUGCACUGCGCUCCGCAGGCCACCUGCUUCCCCCUGCUCCACCUCUGCAGGAGACACUGCGAAGUGAAGCUGAGGCCACACCCAGAGGCCGCUCACAGGUCCUUUCUCUACCAGUUGAGCCUCAAGCCCGGUGGGUUUCCAGCCCAGGUCUGGUCUCAGCGACUGCUUUGGGGGUGACUCGGAAAAAAAGCUGAGGAAAUGUCAGAGGCCGAGGUUAGGGCCUUGACUUACUCAUUUCAAGUUGCUUGUUCAUCGUGUCGGCAGGACUCAGACAUUAGGCUGCAGGGUGCCGUGUUGCUCCUCUGGCCAGAAAUAUAUUUUUGAAAAUGUGAGCAGUGUGAAUACUUGAUUUCGAUAAACCUGUAAAAGCAAUACUUAGGAGGCUGACUUAUUUCGAUUAAAAAAUGUAUGCAACUCCA